rnacentral:lncRNA from 1 species
AGGGACAAUAGUUAUUGAGGGUUUGUGCGAUACAAAAAUGAAAAGGGGAAAGAAAGAAAGAAAAGAAAUGAAAACUAGGGUUUUGAAUUUGUAAAGAUUAAGUAUGCGGAUCGAAGAUUAGAGAGAAAAUCUAUGAACGGAAUAGCGUGAAAUUGAUAAUUUUGGGGAUGAUUUUGCAGAGAUGGAUCGCGAUUGAGGAAGAGGGAGUGAGCGAGAAAGGAGAUAUGUAGAGAGAGAAUGUAGAGAGAGAAUAUUACUAUUAUCUAUCGAGGUAUUAUUAUCAUUCUAGAGCAACUACGAAGCAAC